GUGACGAAGCGACGCCGCGUGCGGGAAGAAGGCCUUCGGGUUGUAAACCGCUGUCAGGAGUUAAGAAAUGUAAGGGUGCUAAUACCAUCCUUGCUUGACAAAGGCUCCAGAGGAAGUCACGGCUAACUCUGUGCCAGCAGCCGCGGUAAGACAGAGGUGGCAAGCGUUGUUCGGAAUCAUUGGGCGUAAAGAGCACGUAGGCGGUUUUGCAAGUCUGAUGUGAAAGCCCUUGGCUUAACCAAGGAAUUGCAUCAGAAACUACAAGACUUGAGUGCAGUAGGGGAGAGCGGAACUUCUAGUGGAGCGGUGAAAUGCGUAGAUAUUAGAAGGAACGCCGGCGGCGAAAGCGGCUCUCUAGGCUGUAACUGACGCUGAGUGUGCGAAAGCUAGGGGAGCAAACGGGAUUAGAUACCCCGGUAGUCCUAGCUGUAAACGAUGGGCACUAAGUAGAGGGGUUUU
rnacentral:rRNA from 1 species